UAAUCUCACCCGCAACACCAAGCCCAUGAAUCACAGUAGUGUAAGUAACAACAUCAAUCUCACAUUUCCUCUUCUUCAUUUCCAAAAAGAAAUCCCAAGCUGCAUUAAUUUGACCAGCUCUAAAAUACCCUUUGAGCAUUAUAUUGUAAGUAGUCAAAUUUGGUGUUAAACCUCUCUCCACCAUCUCCUUCAACACCUCUAAGGCUUUUGGUGUUCUCUUAAUCAAACACCAG
rnacentral:misc_RNA from 1 species